UACGAAGGGGGCUAGCGUUGUUCGGAAUUACUGGGCGUAAAGCGUGCGCAGGCGGCCUUCCAAGUCAGGGGUGAAAGCCCAGAGCUCAACUCUGGAAUUGCCUUUGAUACUGGGUGUCUUGAGUGUGGUAGAGGUGAGUGGAAUUGCGAGUGUAGAGGUGAAAUUCGUAGAUAUUCGCAGGAACACCAGUGGCGAAGGCGGCUCACUGGACCACAACUGACGCUGAGGUGCGAAAGCGUGGGGAGCAAACAGGGA
rnacentral:rRNA from 1 species